rnacentral:rRNA from 1 species
ACACUAUCAUUAACUGAAUCCAUAGGUUAAUGAGGCGAACCGGGGGAACUGAAACAUCUAAGUACCCCGAGGAAAAGAAAUCAACCGAGAUUCCCCCAGUAGCGGCGAGCGAACGGGGAGGAGCCCAGAGCCUGAAUCAGCAUGUGUGUUAGUGGAAGCGUCUGGAAAGGCGCGCGAUACAGGGUGACAGCCCCGUACACAAAAGCGCAUGUGCUGUGAGCUCGAUGAGUAGGGCGGGACACGUGGUAUCCUGUCUGAAUAUGGGGGGACCAUCCUCCAAGGCUAAAUACUCCUGACUGACCGAUAGUGAACCAGUACCGUGAGGGAAAGGCGAAAAGAACCCCGGCGAGGGGAGUGAAAAAGAACCUGAAACCGUGUACGUACAAGCAGUGGGAGCACAGGUUUACCUGUGUGACUGCGUACCUUUUGUAU